AAACUUUCAACAAUGGAUCUCUUGUUUCGAGUAUUACUUCCGAACGCAGCGAAAUGCGAUAAGUAAUGUGAAUUGCAGAACUCAGCGAAUCAUCGAAUCUUUGAACGCACAUUGCGCCCCGGGGUAUUCCCCUGGGCAUGCCUGUUCGAGCGUCAUUU
rnacentral:rRNA from 1 species